rnacentral:rRNA from 1 species
UACGGAGGGUGCAAACGUUGCUCGGAAUCAUUGGGCGUAAAGCGCACGUAGGCGGUCCGACAAGUCGGGUGUGAAAGCCCUGGGCUUAACCCAGGAAGUGCAUUUGAAACUCACGAACUUGAGUCCCGGAGAGGAAGGCGGAAUUCUCGGUGUAGAGGUGAAAUUCGUAGAUAUCGAGAGGAACAUCGGUGGCGAAGGCGGCCUUCUGGACGGUGACUGACGCUGAGAUGCGAAAGCGUGGGGAGCAAACAGG